GAUGGACGCUGGCGGCGUGCCUAAUACAUGCAAGUCGAGCGAACAGACGAGGAGCUUGCUCCUCUGACGUUAGCGGCGGACGGGUGAGUAACACGUGGAUAACCUACCUAUAAGACUGGGAUAACUUCGGGAAACCGGAGCUAAUACCGGAUAAUAUAUUGAACCGCAUGGUUCAAUAGUGAAAGACGGUUUUGCUGUCACUUAUAGAUGGAUCCGCGCCGCAUUAGCUAGUUGGUAAGGUAACGGCUUACCAAGGCAACGAUGCGUAGCCGACCUGAGAGGGUGAUCGGCCACACUGGAACUGAGACACGGUCCAGACUCCUACGGGAGGCAGCAGUAGGGAACCUUCCGCAAUGGGCGAAAGCCUGACGGAGCAACGCCGCGUGAGUGAUGAAGGUCUUCGGAUCGUAAAACUCUGUUAUUAGGGAAGAACAAAUGUGUAAGUAACUAUGCACGUCUUGACGGUACCUAAUCAGAAAGCCACGGCUAACUACGUG
rnacentral:rRNA from 1 species